rnacentral:snoRNA from 1 species
GUAACAUGGACACCUGGAGAGGUCAUUCUCCCCAGGCUCUGUCCAAGUGGCCUCCAGGGUCAUAGGGCUCUGCCCCAUGACAUACAGUCCCCUUCCACAAUGAGUUUGUGCCUGCAUAUUCCUGUGACUUCUCAGAGUCCUGUGGACAAUAACCAAGGAGCCAAACAAUUCAGGAAACACUC